GGUGAUUUUAUUUGGCUAAAAGUAAAAGGAGAAUGGCGGGGGCUUAAUACGUGGUCACAGUAAGGUUUGUGGGUAGGGUGUUUUCUAUGAAACGACGACGUAGAAUGGGUAAUAUCAUUUACUUUAUUCUUGCCUUUUUUCUUUUUAUAUUACAAAUUUUUCUUUGACAUCCGUUGGAUUAAAAGAGGGACUUUUGUCGGAACUUUUUUAGAUCCUUAUCUGUAAAGUUGUUGCUAAGUUCUUCAAAUUUUCAGAUUUCAAAAUAAUUCGGCCCAUGGGCUUCCCUUCUUGCCCUACCUUCGAUGCGUUCCACCGACUACACUGCACUUCGUUUCUUUUGUCUUUAUUUAUUUUCAAGGGAUAUUUUUUAUAAAUUAGAAAUAUUGCAAGAAUAACUUUCAACAUUUUUAUUUUGUAAAUCUAGCCAAAUAUUCAAAUCAUAUACUUUCCGUUUUUAUGAAUUCCAAAUUUUCCAUUUUUUUUUGGGAUUUUCUUCUUCUUUUAGCACUUUUUUUUAGGGGCUUAGCAAAAAUAGUUAACUAAACUAAGCUCGUGUCUCUUGAAUUUUAAAAUUGUAUAAAACGCAAAUUUCAUCCCUCAUCAACUUCCUUCCUUCUUUCUCUUUCAAGCAUCUUCUUCUUUCCAACAUCCUUAGGUUUUCGAUUCGGUUACUUUUCUUCUCUUCUCCUUCGCAACAACUUCCGAACAUGAGUAUAGACCUUGAUGGAUCUUCUAUUUUCAAGCUGAACAAGAAAGUCAGCAGUCCCAGCCUUUGCUUUUUGUGAAGAGUAAGCAGCACUUUCCAGGUUCGUUGAUUCGACUGUGCAUGUCAAAAUUUAAAACCAAAAAGUUCAACAGUUCUAUCACUUGGCAAAGGAUGAAUGGAGUGAUAGUAGUAGAUCAUAGCUCUAGAAGAUUUACCCAUGUUUGAAAUAAGAGAGAUUUUGGUUUCCUUGUCAAAAAUGAAUACAGAACAUAAUAUUAAAACAUGAAUUCAGUGGCGUUAAAAAAAGUUUUAAAGACA